GGCGGCGUGCCUAACACAUGCAAGUCGAACGGAGCUGCGACGCUGAGGAGUGGAGUACUUGUACAAAGCGAAUCUUGUCGUAGCUUAGUGGCGGACGGGUGAGUAACGUGUGGAUAACCUGGUCCAUCCAGGGGGAUAGCGAGCUGGAAACGGCUGGUAAUACCGCAUAAGCGCACAGAGAGGCAUCUCUUGGUGUGAAAAGAUUUAUCGGGAUGGAAUGGAUCCGCAUCUGAUUAGCCAGUUGGCGGGGUAACGGCCCACCAAAGCGACGAUCAGUAGCCGGCCUGAGAGGGCGGACGGCCACAUUGGGACUGAGACACGGCCCAGACUCCUACGGGAGGCAGCAGUGGGGGAUAUUGCACAAUGGAGGGAACUCUGAUGCCAGCGACGCCGCGUGGGUGAAGAAGUAUUUCGGUAUGUAAAGCCCUAUCAGCAGGGAAGAUAAUGACGGUACCUGAGCAAGAAGCCCCGGCUAACUACGUGCCAGCCGCAGC
rnacentral:rRNA from 1 species